ACAUGCACACGCAGGCAGGCACAUGCAGCCAUGCAUGCGCACACAUGCACACACACAGACUCAUGCACACAGGCACAUGCAUGUAUGAAUGCACACAGACAUGCACACACAAAUGCACAUGCAUGCACACGCACACACAUCAACACACAUGCACAUAUGCACAGACAUGCACGCACAUGCACGCAGACACACGCACAUGCAUGCACGCACAGACACAUGUACACUGACAUGCACAUACAGAAUGGAGAGACGCACACCCUCGUGCCCGCGUGCGGGAAUAUGCAUGCACACACGCGCACACACGCAGGCCGGGGUCCUUGUCCGGCGCGGGCGGCCCCCGCCACCCCCCGGGGCAGCCUGGGCAGCGCGGCCGGCGGAGGCCCGGAGCCCCCGGGGUGCCGGGAAGAGCCCGGCAGGUCGCGGGCGGCGCAGGGCCGGGGGCGGCGGGGCGGCUGCGGCCGGGCUCCCCCUCUGCUCCGGCCGCCUCCUGCCCGGCCCCGGCCCCGGCCCCGGCCCCGGCGCUGCCCCGCUCCGAGCCCCGCAGCCGGCGGGCAGCAGAGGGGAGGGAGCCCGGCCCCGCGGGGGGAGCGCACGGGCCGGGCCGGGCCGGGCCAAGCGGGGCUGCGACCGCCGCCUCCCGCAGUGCCCGGCCCGGCCCGGCCCGGCCGGCUGCAAACGCCCCGGUCCCCCUGUCCCGCGGCUCCAGGACGUGGGGACAGACAGGCACGGACCCCGUGUUGUUAUAUUGGAGUAGACAUAGGUGCCUCUGUAUACAAGAGUCGCUGAGAUUUUCAUGAGGGGUGGGAGCUGCGGGUGACUCUUCUCGGGCUUGGAUGUGAGAUUGCAGCAGUUCCUGCAUCCCCUGGUGUGACAGAGCUGGCAGAUGGAGGCAAGGAUGGAGACAGAGCGUCCUGUGCUCUGGGGGCUCCUCCAGCCCCUCCUCAGCCACAUGAAGCCCUGGGCUGUCUUCAACCACCGGUUCCCCACCCCCCGUCGAGCCUAGUUUAAAGCUCUUGGGAGGAGAUCAGCCAAGCUGCGGGCCAACAGAUACUUACCUCUGGGGGAGAGAUGAAGAUCAUCAUCUCCCAGGAAGCCUCCUCCCUGGAAGUGCUGGUCAUGGCUGUAGAAUCCGAAGCCCUCCUGAAGACACCGACUCUGGAGCCGCCGGUUGACUUCUUUGAUGCAGGCACCCUGGCAUCUCUGGCUGCUGCCAACCGGAAGGAUGGAAGAAAAUACAACCUGUGCCCCAGUCUUCUUGAGGCUGUCUCCCAGUUCAUGGAAGUCCUUCAUGAUGCAGUCAGGGCUGGUCCUAGCCGCAUCGUUGGUUCCCACUUAUCCCAGAUCACCUGUUCCCUCUUAUCUGGGGUGACCUGUUUCUGCGCCUGGGCCACCCGUCAGAGUUCCUCCAAACUGGGGUUUGAACUCCUGCCCAGCUAGGCAAUCAGCAGGGAGUUCAAGUGCUUCCCUAAGGGGUGACCCUUCCUCCACUGGGAUGUUCUCUAAUUCCUCCCUGAGAGCCUCGGCUUCCUCUGCCACUGACUGACUGGGCUCCUCCCUGGGGCUGUCACUUAGCUUGACCCCAGGGUCAUUGGUUCCCUCAGCAGCCAGCUGGUUGCUGCAGUCAGGGGGUCUCUUCCUUAUCCCCCUCUUGCCUCCACAGCCACCUAGGUUACUUGGCUCUGGGCGGUUUCCCUACCUUCCCUCGUCACCUUCUUGCUCUGCCAGCGAGUCACUACAUCAAUGCGGAUGGGAUCUAGGAUGUUUCCCCACGCUGCUCGCUUAUGCUCCAGCUCUGUAAUAUCCCUCCCCACCAGCAUGGGGGCAGGAGCAUUUUCCAUUGCUUCUAUCUCCACUUCCAGUCCCUCCACCAGAUGGGGAGACGUGCUACCUGUACUUUGGAUGGCAUGACAUUAAAAAAAACAGUUAAAAUAAA